GGUUGGCUUGAUUAAUUUUUUCACCUCUAAUCUGAGCCCUCUGUAUAAAUGAAACGUGUGUUUUUCUGUUUCAGAUAAACUUCAACAUUUCCCUUCAUUCAUCUUCUAUCUACCAACACGAUAUCGGUGUAGCUAUUCGUUGUCGUUUCCCCUUGGGUCGGAUUCCGAUCUACAGGUCGAUGGUGCUCUUCCUAGGAUACGUAUUCGAAGCGCGGUGUCACUGAUCUACCUACCGUACAGAGUUGUGAUGAUCGUGUCUGAGUUGCUUUUAAGGUUUCUUUCAAAAAAUCGUUCGAUCAAUAAUCGGAGAUUGCAGCGCAGAUCUAGAGAAGAAAGCGGAGUCACGUUCUUCGCAUUCCAAUGUCGGUGGUGCAUGUUGUGGUAUUGAAACAAUGAUGUGAGGGCUGGUUUUUAAGGGGGAAACUAUUAUGUUGUGUGGGUUUUAUAAAACAACGAAGGUUCAGGUGAACUUUGUUAACCGACCUUUGGCAUGACAGGUGCGCUUGCAUGGCAAGUCAAAAUAAUUAAUAAAAAAAACUUUUUUUUUUGGGUUUUCAGGGAGAUCCCACGGGAAUUCUCGGCUUCUCCCUCUGGUGUGAUGUUCUCCUUUUCCUUUUUCUUUAUUACCUAACUAUUAUUCUGCUGCUACUCUUCUUUCCACAGAUACAUCACAGGACUCACAUUUCUCUUCGAUCUAAUGAGGUAUCAUCUGUGUCAUAAACAAAUAAAGGAACUUUUAUGUUAAGGUGCUUUUAAUUUGGUCAAUUCGUAAUUUGUUGACAAUUGGACACAAAAUUAGACUCACAAACACACACUCACUUACACAGCGGAAGAUAAAAUGAGAGAGCAAGUAAAUUCUACACAAACUCAUUCACACACAAGGGAGGAAGAGACUUGAAUUUCUCAAACUAAAAUUGAUUUUACUCAUACUCCAAAUGUUACAUGAUGGUGGCCUUUUAUAGGCAAGCAAAUGGUUGUGCAACAAAAAAUAAUGACAGUGUAAUCCAAUUAACUACUAGUAGUUUCGACAUAAUUGAAGUGGUAUUGAUUCAAAUAUUUUAGGAAUGCUGCUUAUUGACAAAGGUUCCUUAAUGCUUAGUCAUGUUCUUCAAUAAUUGCGCAUUGAAAGAAUGUAUAUUUAUCCGAAGUAUCUAAACUAACAGCUUGUAUGAUAGAUUCAUGGCGGGAACAUUGAUCCUUCUAUUGAUUUAAUUACAAAUAUUGAUAUUUCUGAGGGGUUUUUUUAAAGAGUUAUCGCUCCUGCGUCGUGUCCCCUCUUCUUUGACCCAUUGAGUUCCUUACUUAUUUCACUCAUAAAAUUUUUGAAAUAUUACUCAAAUGUACCUGCAACUGUGUCUGCAUGUGCGUGUGUCACUACCAUUCUCUCGGGAGAACAAACCACCUUUUCUUGUUUUUUCCAGCAUUCCAAUUUCCCACGAAUUGUGUAGAUUUCUCUGCAGAUAUCUUCUUGUGAAGCCUCUGCUACUAGAAGUGCAAACAGUAACUGUACCAUGUAUUGCAGAGAUCUUCCUGAGCUUAUCUGUACAGGAAAUACAAGGUCUCAGGUCUGCAAAAGGCCAAGUCCAAGUGAAUGUUUUGUAGGUUCUUAUUCAUCUUGAGGUAGCUUUCUCAUAUUUGACUGAAUGAAGUUCCUUAUUGAUAUGAUAAAUUAUGCUUCAGCUUGUGAAAUAACCAUGUAUUUUCCGUUGGUUUAGUUUUGUUGUAUUAUGAAAUGGGAUUCAUUUCAUUUAAAAAAAUAACAGUUUCUCUUUUGGUUUAUCCAACUAACAAAAUAACUACAUUAAUGAAAGCAAGUAAUUUGUAUAUGAGAACUGAAUAAAAGGGAAGUUUAUAUGUUUGAGUGCUUUAGAUUUGGUUAAUUUGUAAUUGAAGUGGUAUUAAUUUCAAUUUUUUGGGAGAGAUUGCUUUUAUUCUCUUCUCAUAAUAGUGGUAUGAAUUGGCAGACUUGCAUAAUGCUUACUUUGCUUAAUUAGUGGAGUUCUUCAACAAUUCUGUAUAGAAAACAUAGGAAUUCAGUGGUUUUCAAUAACCAGAUUUUCAGCCCCGAAAAAGUCAUGGACGAAGCUCUGUUCCACACUUGGUCUUGGCUAAAAUGCAUGGACAAAGACUUUGAUAUGCAUUUCAACCAGUGGUCUUCUAACUUGAAGGAGCAGCUGUCUUAGGGGGGUUAUGUCUCUGUUGUUUUUGCUUUGUGUCUAUCUUUAUGUUGGUUGGGUUAGGCAACUUGCCUUAUAUAUUUGUAUCCUAUUUCCAGUACACCUAGUACUGACUUAUAUAUAAUAAUAUCUGAUUUUUGCUGUGCAAAAAAAAAAAAAAACAGGAAUCUAACAGCUUGUAUGAUAGAUUCAUAAGGAUUGGCUAGUAGAGCCGCCACUUCAAGUUAACACUUGUUCGGUAUUUGUCUCAAUUGUUUAGUUAUUUUUCUUGAUCA